rnacentral:rRNA from 1 species
UACAGAGGUCCCAAGCGUUGUUCGGAAUUACUGGGCGUAAAGGGCGCGUAGGCGGCCUGCUAAGUCGAACGUGAAAUCCCCGAGCUCAACUCGGGAACUGCGUCCGAUACUGGCAGGCUUGAAUCCGGGAGAGGGAUGCGGAAUUCCAGGUGUAGCGGUGAAAUGCGUAGAUAUCUGGAGGAACACCGGUGGCGAAGGCGGCAUCCUGGACCGGCAUUGACGCUGAGGCGCGAAAGCCAGGGGAGCAAACGGG